UAGGGAAUCUUCCACAAUGGACGCAAGUCUGAUGGAGCAGAGCCGCCGCGUGAGUGAAGAAGGUCUUCGGAUCGUAAAGCUCUGUUGUUGGUGAAGAAGGAUAGAGGCAGUAACUGGUCUUUAUUUGACGGUAAUCAACCAGAAAGUCACGGCUAACUACGUGCCAGCAGCCGCGGUAAUACGUAGGUGGCAAGCGUUGUCCGGAUUUAUUGGGCGUAAAGCGAGCGCAGGCGGAAUGAUAAGUCUGAUGUGAAAGCCCACGGCUCAACCGUGGAACUGCAUCGGAAACUGUCAUUCUUGAGUGCAGAAGAGGAGAGUGGAACUCCAUGUGUAGCGGUGGAAUGCGUAGAUAUAUGGAAGAACACCAGUGGCGAAGGCGGCUCUCUGGUCUGCAACUGACGCUGAGGCUCGAAAGCAUGGGUAGCGAACAGGAUUAGAUACCCUGGUAGUCCAUGCCGUAAACGAUGAGCGCUAGGUGUUGGGGACUUUCCGGUUCUCAGUGCCGCAGCAAACGCAUUAAGCGC
rnacentral:rRNA from 1 species